CUUGUCCUCUUUUCUUAGGGUCUUUUCACACCUGUGGAUUUCCCUUAUUAGGAGGGACUGGGCAUUUGCUUUCUAUUCUGCUUUGCUCCACCCCUGGCUGCUCAGAAUGCCACAGGCAGUGGCACAAAUCAGUGAAGGUGCUGCAGGGAAAGAGUCAUUUGAGUCAUUUGAAGGAGAAAGAUUUGAAGGAGAUGGUGACAGCAGUAGUCUGUUCAAGAAACGUGAUUCUUACUGGCUGAAGAUUCAAGUGGACAUCUCUGACUUACUUUGUUAG
rnacentral:lncRNA from 1 species